rnacentral:rRNA from 1 species
GCGAAUGGCUCAUUAAAUCAGUUAUCGUUUAUUUGAUAGUACCUUACUACUUGGAUAACCGUGGUAAUUCUAGAGCUAAUACAUGCUGAAAACCCCAACUUCGGGAGGGGUGUAUAUAUUAGAUAAAAAACCAACGCCCUUCGGGGCUUCUUGGUGAUUCAUGAUAUCUUUACGGAUCGCAUGGCCUUGCGCCGGCGACGGUUCAUUCAAAUUUCUGCCCUAUCAACUUUCGAUGGUAAGGUAUUGGCUUACCAUGGUUUCAACGGGUAACGGGGAAUUAGGGUUCGAUUCCGGAGAGGGAGCCUGAGAAACGGCUACCACAUCCAAGGAAGGCAGCAGGCGCGCAAAUUACCCAAUCCCGACACGGGGAGGUAGUGACAAUAAAUACUGAUACAGGGCUCUUUUGGGUCUUGUAAUUGGAAUGAGUACAAUUUAAACCUCUUAACGAGGAACAAUUGGAGGGCAAGUCUGGUGCCAGCAGCCGCGGUAAUUCCAGCUCCAAUAGCGUAUAUUAAAGUUGUUGCAGUUAAAAAGCUCGUAGUUGAACCUUGGGUCUGGCUGGCAGGUCCGCCUCACCGCGUGUACUUGUCCGGCCGGGCCUUCCUUCUGGAGAACCUCAUGCCCUUCACUGGGCGUGUUGGGGACCAGGACUUUUACUUUGAAAAAAUUAGAGUGUUCAAAGCAGGCCUUUGCUCGAAUACGUUAGCAUGGAAUAAUAGAAUAGGACGUGCGGUCCUAUUUUGUUGGUUUCUAGGACCGCCGUAAUGAUUAAUAGGGACAGUCGGGGGCAUCAGUAUUCAAUUGUCAGAGGUGAAAUUCUUGGAUUUAUUGAAGACUAACUACUGCGAAAGCAUUUGCCAAGGAUGUUUCAUUAAUCAGUGAACGAAAGUUAGGGGAUCGAAGACGAUCAGAUACCGUCGUAGUCUUAACCGUAAACUAUGCCGACUAGGGAUCGGGCGAUGUUCUUUUUCUGACUCGCU